CGGAGGGUGCAAGCGUUAUCCGGAUUCACUGGGUUUAAAGGGUGCGUAGGCGGGCAGGUAAGUCCGUGGUGAAAUCUCUGAGCUUAACUCAGAAACUGCCAUGGAUACUAUUUGUCUUGAGUAUUGUGGAGGUAAGCGGAAUAUGUCAUGUAGCGGUGAAAUGCUUAGAUAUGACAUAGAACACCAAUUGCGAAGGCAGCUUACUACACAGUUAUUGACGCUGAGGCACGAAAGCGUGGGGAUCAAACAGGAUUAGAUACCCUGGUAGUCCACGCCCUAAACGAUGAUUACUCGACAUCAGCGAUACACUGUUGGUGUCUGAGCGAAAGCAUUAAGUAAUCCACCUGGGAAGUACGAUCGCAAGAUUG
rnacentral:rRNA from 1 species